rnacentral:rRNA from 1 species
CAGUAGCCGCGGGAAUACGUAGGUCCCGAGCGUUGUCCGGAUUUAUUGGGCGUAAAGCGAGCGCAGGCGGUUAGAUAAGUCUGAAGUUAAAGGCAUUGGCUCAACCAAUGUAUGCUUUGGAAACUGUUAGACUUGAGUGCAGAAGGGGAGAGUGGAAUUCCAUGUGUAGCGGUGAAAUGCGUAGAUAUAUGGAGGAACACCGGUGGCGAAAGCGGCUCUCUGGUCUGUCACUGACGCUGAGGCUCGAAAGCGUGGGUAGCGAACAGGAUUAGAUACCCCUGUAGUCCCUGUCUCUUAUACA